rnacentral:lncRNA from 1 species
CCGUCUCAACAUUGCCUUUCAAAAAGGCCUCUCUAUCCACAUGAUGAACAUAAACACAUGUUCUCCCCAUCCCUACAAUAAUCAAAAACACACAUAUAUCAAGUAAAUACUUAAGAAAAAUAUUUGCACACAUAUGCCCUAACAUAUAAAACAACCAUAACCAUAGCAUAACCCUAACACCAACAUCAAACACACAUAACCCUAACCCUAGCAUACUAUGGAAGCUUAACCAACCCAAGUUAGCAAAGAAACAUAACAUCAUUCAACACAAAUUUGCAAAUCCAAGUCAAACUAGGGUUUCCCCCAAACUAGCAAGAUUUGAGCAAAUGUGACAAUUCCUAUGGAUGAAAACGAGGGGAUGGGAGGAGAUUACCUUAAGGGAGGGGUUGGCUUCGAAAUCCACGGUCAAAUACUCCGGAUUUGCAAGAUUUGAGAAGGAUUUGAGAGGGGGGAGAGGGGAAGAGAGGAGGGCCGCAAGCCUUAGAGUUUGGGUGGGGUGGGGGUGUGUGGGGUGGGGGUGGGAGGGGAGAGAGGGUGGGGCCAGCCCAAGUGGAACACAGACUGUGCAGCGCCCACGAGCUAGGCGCUGCACAUUACAUGUGUGGCGCCUAGCUCUUAGGCGCUGCACAGGUGCGUGUGGGGCCGCAGCUGGACCAGGGCUGCCACGCUGGCAGGAUGUGCGACGCCUAAGGGAGAGGCGCUGCACAGUAGGGUGCGGCGCCCAGCUGUCGGGCGUCACACCGAAGGGUCAGCAGAGUGAAUUUUUUUUGAAAGCAGGUCAGUUUGUGAAUUGAUUUCUUCCUCAGGUCAAAUCUGUGAUUUCUGCCGUCGCUUGCUUGCUUGCUACUUCUGUGUCGCACAAGAGAGAGAUUAAAGUAGACGCGUGGACGCAACGCAAGUGCACCGUGUACGUACGUAAGCGUGGUGGAGCGUGGACAGGAUUGUUCUUUUCUGUUUGAGAUCCUGGACAGGAUUGUUAAUGCCAUUGACCUGUGCUGAUCCCUAUGGCGCAUGGCGCGUCGCCGGCGGCGGCGGCGAUCGGGUCGGGUCGGUCGGUCGGUCGCGCGAGGCACGGCUCCGUGCUGGGGGUCAGCUGGUCACGUGGACGCGGGGCGAGCGCCUGCGUGCGCGCGCGUGCGCGCUAGCGAGAGACGCGAGGCUGAACUGAAUUCGACGCCUCCGGAUUUGUUCGCCGUUGCACCGCCGCAUUGGCUUGUCGCCGGGCAUGUGGCCACAGUUUGCACGACACGCACUCUGUAGUAUAUAAAGAAAACGAACUUUUUUUUGACGUAUAAAGAAAAAAACAUGAACAUAUAUAUAUAUAUAUAUAUAUAUAUAUAUAUAUAUAUAUAAAAGCAAAGAUAUAAAGUUUCGCUGGCGCGACUGCAAUCACGAGCGCUCGUUCGUGUGGGGAUUCGGUCCCUCCUCUUACCUCAUUUGCAUUUCCACUUUAUAGUUCAUUUGAUACUUAUUUCCUCUUUUAGAGAAAGUGGACCACACGGGCUGCAAGAUGGCAGCACUAGGCUGUCAAGCGCGCAGUCCAGCAGGCUUGGACCACCGGCCUUCGGCCCAAGAGGUUCCAGGAAGGCCUUGGAGAACUUUUUUCGGAAGGUUCAAACCUUUUCUUGUUUUCUUUUCUUGUGCCUUUGUUUCUGUUUUCUUUUGAGACAUUCCAUGCCCAUUACGAAGGUCCUAUGGGCCGUGAAUCAGGCCGCGAUGUGGGGGUGUUUUUUGUGGAUCUUUUAUUUUUUGGGAACAAACCGCGUGAUGGUGGGUGGGUGCUUUUUAUGGACUCCGGCAGGAGCGGGGACGAGGAGUAAUUUUUUGGGGUGAGAGAAACACACUACCUUUUGUUAAACUAGCAAAACUCGCCUUCACAAUGCUCUUUUUGUUCAUAACAGAUAUGUUAGGAGUACUAUUUGAAUCAAGGUGGUGUGCCCCUGUGCUUGCAGCUGCAUUCACGUGAUAUUUCAAGUCAAAAGGCAUCCAACGCGCUGCUCGCGCCGGUGACCUGGGUCUCCCGCCGCAGGUGCCUCCCUGCGCGUCACAGACCAGAUUUUCGAUCGCCUCCCCAUGCCGUUUCUAGACACGCAAAAUACCACCAUGGCAGUCAGCAGUAAAGCACAAUACCACACCCUUCACUUUCGCCACACUCACGCAUGUACGGGCUCGGCUUGGGAUCAAGCCAACGCCAGAGAGGACGGCGGCAACCCUGCAUCCAUUACAAAAAUACCGUCACCGUCGUCCAUUAACCAAGCCUUGCGGGGGAAAAGAUGAAUAGCUGCUCACCGUCGCCCGUGAGCAAGACAGUAUCUCCGGCCGGGAUUAGCGUCUUUUCACGAAGUCAGGCGAGCAGCCUUCGCACAGCAGCUGCAAAAAACAGCUGGGGUUCCCUGAGUAUCAGCUAAACUCCCAGCAGAUCAAUGGAGCAGAGGCAGAGCAAGUGCUCUUGCGGUUCUAGCACAGGAAGAAUAGACUCGCGUUUGCACUCACACAUACACUGUGGUGUUGCUCACGUACACAGAACUAGAGGCUUUUAUUGAUUGGAGCCUUGAUGGCUUGUUUAC